rnacentral:rRNA from 1 species
CCUACGGGAGGCAGCAGUGGGGAAUAUUGCACAAUGGGGGAAACCCUGAUGCAGCGACGCCGCGUGAGUGAAGAAGUCAUUCGUGAUGUUAAGCUCUAUUAGCAGGGAAGUAAAUGACGCUACCUGACUGAGAAGCCCCGGCUAACUACGUGCCGGCAGCCGCGGUAAUACGGAGGGGGCAAGCGUUAUCCGGAUUUACUGGGCGUAAAGGGAGCGUAGUCGGCAGCGCAAGUCAGAAGUGAAAGCCCGGGGCCCAACCUCGGGACUGCAUUGGAAACUGUGAAGCUUGAGUUCAGGAGGGGCAGGCGGAAUUCCUGGUGUAGCGGUGAAAUGCGUAGAUAUCAGGAGGAACACCGACGGCGAAGGCGGCUUGCUGGACCGUAACUGACGUUGAGGCUCGAAAGCGUGGGGAGCAAACAGGAUUAGAUACCCCUGUAGUC